rnacentral:rRNA from 1 species
GACGAACGCUGGCGGCGUGCUUAACACAUGCAAGUCGAACGGAAAGGCCCCUUUGGGGGUACUCUAGUGGCGAACGGGUGCGUAACACGUAAGUAACCUUCCCUUGACUUCGGGAUAACUUCAGGAAACUGGGGCUAAUACCGGAUAGGAAUCCUUGCUGCAUGGUGGGGGUUGGAAAGCUUCGGCGGUUUUGGAUGGACUGGCGGCUUAUCAGCUUGUUGGUGGGGUAGUGGGUUACCAAGGCUUUGACGGGUAGCCGCACUGAGAGACCGACCGGCCACCUUGGGACUGAGAGAAGGCCGAGACUCGGACGGGAGGCAGAUGGGGGGAAGAUUGAACCAGCGGCGGAGGGUGGGUGCAGCAGCGCUGCGGGCGGGAAGACGGUCUUCGGGUGGUAAACCGCUUGCAGCAGGGGCGAAGCUUGUGGUGACGGUACCUGCAGAAGAAGCACCGGCUAACUACGUG